CCUACGGGGGGCUGCAGUGAGGAAUCUUGGUCAAUGGGCGGAAGCCUGAACCAGCCAAGUAGCGUGCGGGAUGAAGGCCCUACGGGUCGUAAACCGCUUUUGCACGGGGAUAACACCCUCCACUUGUGGAGGUCUGCAGGUACCGUGCGAAUAAGGGCCGGCUAAUUCCGUGCCAGCAGCCGCGGUAAUACGGAAGGCCAGAGGGUUAUCCGGAUUCAUUGGGCUUAAAGGGAGCGUAGGGGGGCGUUCAAGUCAGCGGGAAAAUCGCGCGUCUCAACCGCGCCCCGCAUUUGAAACUGGACGCCUUGAGUUCACAACAGGCAGGCGGAAUUCGUGGUGUAGCGGUGAAAUGCAUAGAUAUCACGAGGAACCCCGAUUGCGAAGGCAGCCUGCCGGGGUGCGACUGACGCUGAGGCUCGAAGGUGCGGGUAUCAAACAGGAUUAGAUACCCCAGUAGUC
rnacentral:rRNA from 1 species